GAUGAACGCUGGCGGCGUGCCUAAUACAUGCAAGUCGAGCGAACAGACGAGGAGCUUGCUCCUAUGACGUUAGCGGCGGACGGGUGAGUAACACGUGGAUAACCUACCUAUAAGACUGGGAUAAAUUCGGGAAACCGGAGCUAAUACCGGAUAAUAUAUUGAACCGCAUGGUUCAAUAGUGAAAGACGGUUUUGCUGUCACUUAUAGAUGGAUCCGCGCCGCAUUAGCUAGUUGGUAAGGUAACGGCUUACCAAGGCAACGAUGCGUAGCCGACCUGAGAGGGUGAUCGGCCACACUGGAACUGAGACACGGUCCAGACUCCUACGGGAGGCAGCAGUAGGGAAUCUUCCGCAAUGCGCGAAAGCCUGACGGAGCAACGCCGCGCGAGUGAUGAAGGUCUUCGGAUCUUAAAACUCUGUUAUUAGGGAAGAACAAAUGUGUAAGUAACUAUGCACGUCUUGACGGUACCUAAUCAGAAAGCCACGGCUAACUCCGUG
rnacentral:rRNA from 1 species